rnacentral:rRNA from 1 species
CCUACGGGCGGCAGCAGUGGGGAAUAUUGGACAAUGGGGGGAACCCUGAUCCAGCGACGCCGCGUGAGUGAAGAAGUAUUUCGGUAUGUAAAGCUCUAUCAGCAGGGAAGAAAAUGACGGUACCUGACUAAGAAGCCCCGGCUAACUACGUGCCAGCAGCCGCGGUAAUACGUAGGGGGCAAGCGUUAUCCGGAUUUACUGGGUGUAAAGGGAGCGUAGACGUUGCAGCAAGUCUGAUGUGAAAGGUCGGGGCCCAACCCCGGGACGGCAUUAGAUACUGUUGGACUGGAGUACAGGAGAGGUAAGCGGAAUGCUGGGGGGAGCGGUGAAAUGCGUAGAUAUAGGGAGGAAAACCAGUGGCGAAGGCGGGUUACUGGACAGUAACUGACGUUGAGGCUCGAAGGCGAGGGGAGCGAAAGGGAUUAGAUACCCGGGUAGUC